AGAACCAUAAGUACAUACAAUAAGUGGUGUGCACUUCUUCCAAGAAUUAGACCGUUUUAUGCAAUCAAGUGUAAUCCUGACCCAGUCCUUGUACGCCAAUUGAAGCUGUUGGGAACUGGGUUUGACUGUGCUAGCAAAGUAGGUAUACAUUUUCACUCCUUUGCACGGACCGUUAUGGGUACUAGUCUAUAUAUCCUUAAUAACGCCAAUCAACAUCAAAGAGUAAGGUUAUAGGGGUUAUAGGGACUUUAA